rnacentral:lncRNA from 1 species
UCAAACAUUUAUUAAUCUAAUUAUGUACAUUUUUCAAACAUUUAUUAAUCUUAUUAUAUACAAUUUUCAAAAGCAAAAUAUCUAUAAUGUUUUAACAGUCUCUUUUAUUUGCAUGCAGUGGCGAAUCCAGAAGUUUUCAUAAGCGGGGAAAAAGGGGGGCUGACUGACCUAGGCUAAGGGGGAGGUGCCGCUCCAGUCAUGCUUCAGUGAUUCCUUAUAUAAUCAACCAAAUUUUCCCCACGAAAUGGGCCCCCAGAUCCGCCUAUUGCAUGGAUCAUAUGAUUAUCUCAUUUAGUUUAAGUCUAUUUUACAGUUGAUUAACAUGCAUUUUGUUUAUUUUUUCAAUCGGCACUACAAGUUUCUGUUAUUUUUUAAUUACCAGUAAGUAUUUAAAAAAAGGGAGAACGUAUUUAUCGUGGGGCAACAGAUAAAAAUAAAGGGGGAAUGUGUCCAGUGGACACAAAUGCCCCGCUUGCAUGUAACGUUAUACAGGGACAGAACUAAAGAACAGCAAAAAAAAAAUGAUGCUACCCAAAUUCGAACUUGAUUUGAAUGUUGUGGCAAUAAGCAUUGUGUAAACGUUUCAUAAAAGUUGGUUGGGGCAUUUGGUUGGAAUGGAAUCGAAUUAUUUAACAAAUUUUGUAUUUGUAAAGAGGCAUACUUCUAGAACGUAAACGUGACGCCACCAAAAUUCCAAAACUUAAUCUGUGUUUUGUUGUAGCAAGCAUUAUUAAUAAGAUUUAUAGCAUUUGGUUGAGGUAAAGUAAUAUAUUUGAUAGAGGGUUAACUUACUUCUUACAAGGAAUUCGAAGCUAUUAAACCAAGAGUUCCAAAUGGUGAAGUUGAAAUCGUCCCUUCUUAAAUUUUACGGACGCCAUCUCGAGUUGGUUGAUCGUUAUGGUAUAACGCUUCACAGAUGAUAUCGGAUAUGUUCCUUAUGUCGUAACUACAAUCCAAUCCCUUUUUACCACGAAUGUGACCUACGGAAUUAGAUUAUUUACUGGGUUUGUAAUACCAUGAGCAACACGACGGGUGCUUACCCUUCCGGAGUACCUGAUAUUACCCCUCUUUUUGGUUGGGUUCGUGUUGCUUAUUCUUUAGUUUUCUAUGUUAUGCCUUGAAUAUGUACUAUUAUUUGUCUGUUUGUCUUUUUAUUUUUUAGCCAUGGCGUUGUCAGUUUAUUUUCGAUCUAUGAGUGUGACUGUCCCUUUGGUAUCUUUCGUCCCUCUUUUUCAGAAGGACAACGCCCGUUGUCACGUGGCACACAUUUCGUUAAACUUUUUUGAGAACAAUCACAUUCGUGAGUUGCCAUGGCCAGCAAAUGAAUCCAGCUUUAUCGCCAAUCGAACAUCUGUGGGAUGAACAUGGACAACGUCUCAGAAAUAGUCCAAAUCUACCGGAAACGCUCGCUCAGCUCCUAAUAGCACUUUCCAGGGAAUGGGACAACAUCCCUCAAGACUUCAUUCGACGUCUAAUUGAUUCAAUGCGACGGAGGUAUCAGGCGGCAAUAAAUGCAAGAGGUGCACAUAUUACACAUUUUUGUCACGUUAACUUGAAUUUCUAAUUCGUCCUGUUAAAAUUGUCCGAAAAUGUGCAAUAUUGUUUCAAAUAGAGAAAACUCGUAAUUAUUUUCUUCAAAAUAAUGUUAGCUAACUGUUCCAUUAACGUAUUUUGUUAUUAUACAUAUAAAUGAUCUUACAAACUUGUAAUUUAG